AUUGAACGCUGGCGGCAUGCCUUACACAUGCAAGUCGAACGGCAGCACGGGAGCAAUCCUGGUGGCGAGUGGCGAACGGGUGAGUAAAGUAUCGGAACGUGCCCAGUCGUGGGGGAUAACGUAGCGAAAGUUACGCUAAUACCGCAUACGAUCUACGGAUGAAAGCGGGGGAUCGCAAGACCUCGCGCGAUUGGAGCGGCUGAUAUCAGAUUAGGUGGUUGGUGGGGUAAAGGCUCACCAAGCCGACGAUCUGUAGCUGGUCUGAGAGGACGACCAGCAACACUGGGACUGAGACACGGCCCAGACUCCUACGGGAGGCAGCAGUGGGGAAUUUUGGACAAUGGGCGCAAGCCUGAUCCAGCCAUGCCGCGUGCAGGAUGAAGGCCUUCGGGUUGUAAACUGCUUUUGUACGGAACGAAAAGGUUUGGCCUAAUAAGCUGGACCCAUGACGGUACCGUAAGAAUAAGCACCGGCUAACUACGUGCCAGCAGCCGCCGCGG
rnacentral:rRNA from 1 species